rnacentral:rRNA from 1 species
UACGGGGGGGGGGCAAGCGUUGUUCGGAAUUACUGGGCGUAAAAGGGGCUCGUAGGUGGCCAACUAAGUCAGACGUGAAAUCCCUCAGCUUAACUGGGGAACUGCGUCUGAUACUGGAUGGCUUGAGUUUGGGAGAGGGAUGCGGAAUUCCAGGUGUAGCGGUGAAAUGCGUAGAUAUCUGGAGGAACACCGGUGGCGAAGGCGGCAUCCUGGACCAACACUGACACUGAGGAGCGAAAGCCAGGGGAGCAAACGGG